rnacentral:rRNA from 1 species
GUACUUGAUGUUGAUUAUCCAACGUGGAUAACUGUGGCAAUUCUAGAGCUAAUACAUGCACCAAAGCUCCGACUUUUGGACGAGCGCAUCUAUUAGAUUAAAACCAAUCGGGUUAUUGGCCCGUUAAUUGGUGACUCUGAAUAGCUAUGGCUGAUCGCAUGGUCUUGUACCGGCGACGUAUCUAUCAAGUGUCUGCCUUAUCAACUUUCGAUGGUAGUUUAUGUGCCUACCAUGGUUGUAACGGGUAACGGAGAAUAAGGGUUCGACUCCGGAGAGGGAGCCUGAGAAACGGCUACCACAUCCAAGGAAGGCAGCAGGCGCGCAAAUUACCCACUCUCAGAAUGAGGAGGUAGUGACGAAAAAUAACGAGACCGUUCUCUUUGAGGCCGGUUAUCGGAAUGGGUACAAUUUAAACCCGUUAACGAGGAUCUAUGAGAGGGCAAGUCUGGUGCCAGCAGCCGCGGUAAUUCCAGCUCUCAAAGUGUAUAUCGUCAUUGCUGCGGUUAAAAAGCUCGUAGUUGGAUCUGCGUCUCAGGACCUGGUCCAUCCAUUGGAUGAGAACUGGGCUCCUAGGCUAAUAUUGCCAGUUUUCCCUACGUUACCUUGAUCGGUUGCGUAUGGUGGCUAGCAAGUUUACCUUGAAAAAAUUAGAGUGCUCAAUGCGGGCUAAUGCCUGAAUACUCGUGCAUGGAAUAAUGAAAUAGGAUCUCGGUUCUAUUUUGUUGGUUUUCUGAUCUGAGAUAAUGGUUAAGAGGGACGGACGGGGGCAUUCGUAUCGCUGCGUGAGAGGUGAAAUUCUUGGACCGUAGCGAGACGUCCGACUGCGAAAGCAUUUGCCAAGAAUGUCUUCAUUAAUCAAG